rnacentral:rRNA from 1 species
GACGAACCGUCCUAACGUUGUUCGGAAUCACUGGGCUUAAAGGGCGCGUAGGCGGGUCUCCAAGUCGGUGGUGAAAUCUUUCAGCUCAACUGGAAAAGUGCCGCCGAUACUGGGGAUCUCGAGGGAGGUAGGGGUCGAUGGAACUAAUGGUGGAACGGUGAAAUGCGUAGAUAUCAUUAGGAACGCCGGUGGCGAAAGCGAUCGACUGGACCUCUUCUGACGCUGAGGCGCGAAAGCCAGGGGAGCAAACGGG